GUGUCAGCAGCCGCGGUAAUACGGAGGAUGCAAGCGUUAUCCGGAAUGAUUGGGCGUAAAGGGUCCGCAGGUGGCCUUGUAAGUCUGCUGUUAAAGAGUGAGGCUUAACCUCAUAAAAGCAGUGGAAACUACAAAGCUAGAGUGCGUUCGGGGUAGCAGGAAUUCCUGGUGUAGCGGUGAAAUGCGUAGAGAUCAGGAAGAACACCGGUGGCGAAAGCGUGCUACUAGGCCGUAACUGACACUGAGGGACGAAAGCUAGGGGAGCGAAUGGGAUUAGAUACCCCAGUAGUCC
rnacentral:rRNA from 1 species